rnacentral:lncRNA from 1 species
AUGGGCCUACAGAAGCCUCUGAGCACUAGUGAGCCUUAUAGUUUGGCCCCAAGCAGGGUGCCUGCUGCAUCAUCAUUGUACUGGAAAGACGACCUCCAAAACACCUGCCCUGUACAUCUCAUCACAGGCCAGAGUACUUUACUCCACAACAUCCUCAUGGAACACGGACCAGGCCUGAGAGCUCCUGCCCUGCAAACUGGGGAAACUGAGGCACUGACCUCGGAUAGAAAGCAGUCAAGCAGCAAACCUGAAGGCAUCACCAUUGCUCCAGAGGGGAGAAGGGCACCCACCCCGAGGACCCCCGCAGCAGCAGCAGCAGCUCUCGGGAAAGCAAGUCCCCCUCAGGCUGUCGGACCCCUCUGUGUCUCAACUGGGGCCUGUAGGAGAUCCUGCCCUGCCUGACUUCCCAGGAAACACAUCUGGCCCCCUUCCCUCACAGCCUGCUGCCUGCACCUCUCCUCAGGGCCCGAUGGCAGCUGUGUCACCUACACUCCUGUGGGCACCUUCCUCACCAGGCACUUACUAGAGAGGAUGUGCAGUGGCAGGUACGAGGAGCAGGUAUGUAUCAGGCAAUUUUCCAGGGCAGCGUGGGGGCCGGGGCUACAGGCAGUCAGAAGCAGGACGCACGGCUGGAACAGGGAUGGGGGGCGUUUCGGGAGAAGGGGGCAGCAGGUGAAUCUGGCUAGCGCCUGCCUCCAGCCCUCACUGACCCUCCCUGCUCAGCACCCCACCUGCCCCUGGCGAGAUGCCAUCCUGGCUUGCUCUGAACCAUCCGUGCAGGUGGACAUUUCGGAGGAGGGACCCUGGGCAUGACUUUUAUCACAUGGGCCAAGGCAGAGCAGGUGCCUGAACAGUCCCUCGGCAGCCCCCUGCUCAGAGCCAGAAGGGUCUGGAAGGAUGACUGUAAAGAGGCGGAUGGGCAGUGGGCAAAGGGCCUGUCAGGCCCCUCCCUCGGCUACCCCCUUCCCUGCCUCCAGCUAAGACCCACCCCCGUCCCUCCCACCCUUUGAUUUUUUAAUCACCAAUGCCCUUGGCACCUCGGCCCACGUCCCACCUACAUUAGCCAGGAGGCCUGGGCAGCUGCUCCAUCAGCCAUUAGGUUCAGGCAUUAGCUCACCUUGUGGCUCUUGGGGGAAUCCUAAUGCACCUGUUCUUUCUNGUACCCCCCCCCCCCCCCCCCCCACACACACACACCUCCACCUCCACACCAGGCCCUUGCUCACCUCUGCCAGAGAGUGAGUUUCCUGAAAUGACAGACCAUUCUGUCUUCCCUAAUCCCUACCUCGCAAGGCUGGAAUGCACGACCAUGACGCUGCCCUACCCUUGCCCGUGGCUGGAUCAGAACCAGUGUGCACUGCUAAAUGUGUAAACACCACCUCCCUGGGAGGAAAAGCCCUGAUAUGUAGCACUGGCCAAUUUCUGUGGUGUAAACACCCCCACCGCGGCCCAUGUCAAGUUACUGGACUGGACACGGACUCGGGCAGAGAUGCCGUGAGAAUCAGUACCAGCACGUGCCCAGCCAGGCAACGUUGGGGUGACCUGCCAACCCCACAGCCUGGCACUGCUCCCUCCAGCAGCCGCUGCUGUGCACGAAGGCAGGGCCCUCCCCAUCCAGGAUGAGGUGCUCAGGGCAUGGCCCUGUGAGUCUGAUCUAGAAUGAAAUCCCAGCUCUGCCAUAUAAUGAAAUGGAUGGCUUUGGGCAAGUCGCUUAACCUUUCCUUAUCGGUAAAAUAAGAUUAAUAUAACUCAUACCCCAGACAUGUGAGGAUUAUGAGCACCUGGACAGAAGCCACUUAGUGCAGGGUUUGCAUGGGAAGAACUCAAUCAGUGUAGCCAGUAGUGGGGAGUAAGACCCACAAUGGUAUGGGCAGCCCGGGUGGCUCAGUGGUUUAUCGCUGCCUUCAGCCCAGGGCGAGAUCCCGGAGACCUGGGAUUGAGACCCACGUCAGGCUCCCUACAUGGAGCCUGCUUCUCCCUCUGCCUGUGUCUCUGCCUCUCUCUCUCUCUCUCUCUCCCUGUGUCUCUCAUGAAUAAAUAAAUAAAAUAUUUAAAAAAAAAUACCCA